rnacentral:rRNA from 1 species
AUUGAACGCUGGCGGCAUGCUUUACACAUGCAAGUCGAACGGUAACAGGCCGCUAGGUGCUGACGCGUGGCUGACGGGUGAGUAAUUCAUCGGAACGUGCCCAGUCCUUGGGUAUAACUACUCGAAAGGGUAGCUAAUACCGCAUACGAUCGAUGGAUGAACUCGAUGGACCGUAAGGCCUCGCGCGGUUGGAUCGGCCGGUGUGAGAUGAGGUAGUUGGUGGGGUAAGGGCUGACCAAGCCAACGAUCUGUAGCUGGUCUGAGAGGACGACCAUCCACAUUGGGACUUAGCCACGGCCAAGACUCCUAAGAGACGCAGCAGUGGGGAACUUUGGACAACGGGGGCAAGCAUUAUACAGCAAUGCGGAGUGCAGGAAGAAGGCGUUCGGUUCGUAAACUGGUUUUGCAGGGAACGAACCGGCUUUGGUUAAUACGAGGGGCUAAUGACGGUACCGGAAGAAUAAGCACCGGCUAACUACGUG